GAUGAACGCUGGCGGCGUGCCUAAUACAUGCAAGUCGAACGCUUUGUCUUUAAUUGAUAUGAAGAGCUUGCUCUGAUUUGAUUUUAUCUGACAAAAAGUGGCGAACGGGUGAGUAACACGUGGGUAACCUACCUCUUAGCAGGGGAUAACAUUUGGAAACAAGUGCUAAUACCGUAUAACACUAACAACCGCAUGGUUGUUAGUUGAAAGAUGGUUCUGCUAUCACUAAGAGAUGGACCCGCGGUGCAUUAGCUAGUUGGUAAGGUAAUGGCUUACCAAGGCGAUGAUGCGUAGCCGAGUUGAGAGACUGAUCGGCCACAAUGGGACUGGGACACGGCCCAUACUCCUACGGGAGGCAGCAGUAGGGAAUCUUCCACAAUGGGCGCAAGCCUGAUGGAGCAACGCCGCGUGUGUGAUGAAGGGUUUCGGCUCGUAAAACACUGUUAUAAGAGAAGAACGACAUUGAGAGUAACUGUUCAGUGUGUGACGGUUUCUUAUCAGAAAGGAACGGCUAAAUACGUG
rnacentral:rRNA from 1 species